rnacentral:rRNA from 1 species
GACGAACGCUGGCGGCGUGCUUAACACAUGCAAGUCGAACGCUGAUGGCCCAGCUUGCUGGGUUGGAUGAGUGGCGAACGGGUGAGUAACACGUGAGUAACCUGCCCUCUUCUUUGGGAUAACGGUCGGAAACGGCUGCUAAUACCGGGUAUUCACUGUCCUUCGCAUGGGGGGUGGUGGAAAGGUUUUUUCUGGUGGGGGAUGGGCUCGCGGCCUAUCAGCUUGUUGGUGGGGUGAUGGCUUACCAAGGCUUUGACGGGUAACCGGCCUGAGAGGGUGACCGGUCACAUUGGGACUGAGAUACGGCCCAGACUCCUACGGGAGGCAGCAGUGGGGAAUAUUGCACAAUGGGCGAAAGCCUGAUGCAGCGACGCCGCGUGAGGGAUGGAGGCCUUCGGGUUGUAAACCUCUUUCGCUCAUGGUCAAGCCGCAACUGUGGUUGUGGUGAGGGUAGUGGGUAAAGAAGCACCGGCUAACUACGUGCCAGCAGCCGCGGUAAUACGUAGGGUGCGAGCGUUGUCCGGAAUUAUUGGGCGUAAAGGGCAUGUAGGCGGUUUGUCGCGUCUGCCGUGAAAUCCUCUGGCUUAACUGGGGGCGUGCGGUGGGUACGGGCAGGCUUGAGUGCGGUAGGGGAGACUGGAACUCCUGGUGUAGCGGUGGAAUGCGCAGAUAUCAGGAAGAACACCGGUGGCGAAGGCGGGUCUCUGGGCCGUUACUGACGCUGAGGAGCGAAAGCGUGGGGAGCGAACAGG